AACCUAAUACGUUAGUGUUUUGACGUUACCGACAGAAUAAGCACCGGCUAACUCUGUGCCAGCAGCCGCGGUAAUACAGAGGGUGCAAGCGUUAAUCGGAAUUACUGGGCGUAAAGCGCGCGUAGGUGGUUUGUUAAGUUGGAUGUGAAAUCCCCGGGCUCAACCUGGGAACUGCAUUCAAAACUGACUGACUAGAGUAUGGUAGAGGGUGGUGGAAUUUCCUGUGUAGCGGUGAAAUGCGUAGAUAUAGGAAGGAACACCAGUGGCGAAGGCGACCACCUGGACUAAUACUGACACUGAGGUGCGAAAGCUUGGGGAGCAAACAGGAUUAGAUACCCUGGUAGUCCACGCCGUAAACGAUGUCAAUUAGCCGUUGGAAGCCUUGAGCUUUUAUUUGGCGCACCUAACGCAUUAAGUUGACCGCCUGGGGAGUACGGCCGCAAGGUUAAAACUC
rnacentral:rRNA from 1 species